UACGAAGGGUGCAAGCGUUACUCGGAAUUACUGGGCGUAAAGCGUGCGUAGGUGGUUUUUUAAGUCCGUUGUGAAAGCCCUGGGCUCAACCUGGGAAUGGCAGUGGAUACUGGAAAGCUAGAGUGCGGUAGAGGGUAGUGGAAUUCCCGGUGUAGCAGUGAAAUGCGUAGAGAUCGGGAGGGACACCAGAGGCGAAGGCGGCGACCUGGACAGAUACUGACACUCAACUGCGAAAGCGUGGGGAGCAAACAGG
rnacentral:rRNA from 1 species